CCAAGAUUGGCUCUGGUUUAUUUCAUUUUCAUGAGUGAGUGAAUUAACCAUGUGUACUGGUGGUAUUUCAGUGCUUUUCAAAAGUAAAUUUUGAACUGUCAAAUUGAGCCAGAGAACCUUACAUUAGGAGUAAUGAAUCAGCUAACAUGUAAUUAACCUUAAUUUGUAGUUUCUUAUCAUAUGGUAAACUAUUAUAGAAACCUUUAAGAAAAUAAAAUAUUCUGCUCGUCUAGGAGCUGUUAAAGUGGAGCAAGACACUGGGUGAAAUGUACAUCUCUCUCCUUUAUUUACUUUGUUCUCAUUUUUAUACUAAUGUAACUUAUUAUUUUAAGGAUUAUUGUCAGGAAUAAACUCUCAUUCAGAAAUAUCCUUAAAAACUACUUUCUUCAACACCACUUCAGAGCAUCACACAGCCCACCGGCUAGCACUGGGCAGGAACCAGUUCAGUGCAUGCAGAAGCACCCGUGAGUACACUAAAGAUAAGCAAUGGUGGGCCUGUAGAUUAAUAUAAUCUUUUUGACUGCUUCCCUGUCAAGUCCCCAAGGACCAGCUCCUCUAAUCUAACUUUUUGUUUAUGGCAUCUUUUCUUCUAGCAUAUAGAGAUAACUCAGAGCAAAGUGGUCAACAGACAGAGAUUCAGUUACUCAAAGUCAUUUUGGUAAUGGAAGGCUCAUGUGAUUUCUGGAAAACAGACUGGGAAUUUUGCUUCAUACAUUUCUGGAUUUAUGAACAAAAUGGAUUCUGCACACCGAAUGGGCCAAGCUCCUGGAAAAAACCCAACCAUUAGUGAAAGCUGCAAGCAGCAAGGCAGCAUGUAGACCCCAAUCUGAUUACUUUUUCUGUAACCAGCAUCCAGUGUUGGUCAUUGCAGGACAGGUUGACACUUGGAAUCCCCAGGCUAAGAACAAGAAGCAGAGUAAUCCCAGGUUCAUUGCAGUAACCAGCUGCAGCUUUCAGAUGUCAGCCCAUAGAUUUCCAUGUUCCUGCAAUACCUCUCCUUCAUCCUGGAAGGGCAGGUUCACAGCACCUGUUUUAAGAACAACAUUGACCCAGCAAGAGCAGAACAGCCUUUAGGAACCUUUGAGAUGGGGACCAGCAGCUAAGGUUCAGUGUUGGGCACAGAAGCAGUGAGAAGCUAUGAGAUCACCUUCCAAGGCACUGGUUCUUUUACUGAUGUCGAUGAACAACGUAUGGGUAGUGAUAUCCUGUGCAGCUGCACUGAGUCUUCCGU